rnacentral:rRNA from 1 species
CAACCCUUGACAUGGGACGUAUGGGCUUCAGAGAUGGGGUCCUUCAGUUCGGCUGGCGUCCACACAGGUGCUGCAUGGCUGUCGUCAGCUCGUGUCGUGAGAUGUUGGGCUAAGUCCCGCAACGAGCGCAACCCCUAUCUUCAGUUGCCAUCAUUCAGUUGGGCACUCUGAAGAAACUGCCGGUGACAAGCCGGAGGAAGGCGGGGAUGACGUCAAGUCCUCAUGGCCCUUACGGGUUGGGCUACACACGUGCUACAAUGGUGGUGACAAUGGGGAGCGAGGCGGCGACGCCAAGCCAAUCUCAAAGAGCCAUCUCAGUUCGGAUUGCACUCUGCAACUCGAGUGCAUGAAGUUGGAAUCGCUAGUAAUCGCGGAACAGC